UGUGUGUUAGUGGAAGCGUCUGGAAAGGCGCGCGAUACAGGGUGACAGCCCCGUACACAAAAGCGCAUGUGCUGUGAGCUCGAUGAGUAGGGCGGGACACGUGAUAUCCUGUCUGAAUAUGGGGGGACCAUCCUCCAAGGCUAAAUACUCCUGACUGACCGAUAGUGAACCAGUACCGUGAGGGAAAGGCGAAAAGAACCCCGGCGAGGGGAGUGAAAAAGAACCUGAAACCGUGUACGUACAAGCAGUGGGAGCACCCUUCGGGGUGUGACUGCGUACCUUUUGUAUAAUGGGUCAGCGACUUAUAUUCUGUAGCAAGGUUAACCGAAUAGGGGAGCCGGAGGGAAACCGAGUCUUAACCGGGCGUUAAGUUGCAGGGUAUAGACCCGAAACCCGGUGAUCUAGCCAUGGGCAGGUUGAAGGUUGGGUAACACUAACUGGAGGACCGAACCGACUAAUGUUGAAAAAUUAGCGGAUGACCUGUGGCUGGGGGUGAAAGGCCAAUCAAACCGGGAGAUAGCUGGUUCUCCCCGAAAGCUAUUUAGGUAGCGCCUCGUGAAUUCAUCUCCGGGGGUAGAGCACUGUUUCGGCUAGGGGGCCAUCCCGGCUUACCAACCCGAUGCAAACUGCGAAUACCGGAGAAUGUUAUCACGGGAGACACACGGCGGGUGCUAACGUCCGUCGUGAAGAGGGAAACAACCCAGACCGCCAGCUAAGGUCCCAAAGUCAUGGUUAAGUGGGAAACGAUGUGGGAAGGCCCAGACAGCCAGGAUGUUGGCUUAGAAGCAGCCAUCAUUUAAAGAAAGCGUAAUAGCUCACUGGUCGAGUCGGCCUGCGCGGAAGAUGUAACGGGGCUAAACCAU
rnacentral:rRNA from 1 species